GGGAGGCAGCAGUAGGGAAUCUUCCGCAAUGGGCGAAAGCCUGACGGAGCAACGCCGCGUGAGUGAUGAAGGUCUUCGGAUCGUAAAACUCUGUUAUUAGGGAAGAACAAACGUGUAAGUAACUGUGCACGUCUUGACGGUACCUAAUCAGAAAGCCACGGCUAACUACGUGCCAGCAGCCGCGGUAAUACGUAGGUGGCAAGGGUUAUCCGGAAUUAUUGGGCGUAAAGCGCGCGUAGGCGGUUUUUUAAGUCUGAUGUGAAAGCCCACGGCUCAACCGUGGAGGGUCAUUGGAAACUGGAAAACUUGAGUGCAGAAGAGGAAAGUGGAAUUCCAUGUGUAGCGGUGAAAUGCGCAGAGAUAUGGAGGAACACCAGUGGCGAAGGCGACUUUUGGUCUGUAACUGACGCUGAUGUGCGAAAGCGUGGGGAUCAAACAGGAUUAGAUACCCUGGUAGUCCACGCGUAAACGAUGAGUGCUAAGUGUUAGGGGGUUUCCGCCC
rnacentral:rRNA from 1 species